GAUGAACGCUGGCGGCGUGCCUAAUACAUGCAAGUCGAGCGAACAGACGAGGAGCUUGCUCCUCUGACGUUAGCGGCGGACGGGUGAGUAACACGUGGAUAACCUACCUAUAAGACUGGGAUAACUUCGGGAAACCGGAGCUAAUACCGGAUAACAUGUUGAACCGCAUGGUUCAACAGUGAAAGACGGUUUUGCUGUCACUUAUAGAUGGAUCCGCGUCGCAUUAGCUAGUUGGUAAGGUAACGGCUUACCAAGGCAACGAUGCGUAGCCGACCUGAGAGGGUGUUCGGCCACACUGGAACUGAGACACGGUCCAGACUCCUACGGGAGGCAGCAGUAGGGAAUCUUCCGCAAUGGGCGAAAGCCUGACGGAGAAACGCCGCGUGAGUGAAGAAGGUCUUCGGAUCGUAAAACUCUGUUAUUAGGGAAGAAAAAAUGUGUAAGUAACUAUGCACGUCUUGACGGUACCUAAUCAAAAAGCCACGGCUAACUGCGU
rnacentral:rRNA from 1 species